rnacentral:rRNA from 1 species
CUACGGAGGGUGCAAGCGUUAUUCGGAAUCACUGGGCGUAAAGGACGCGUAGGAGGGUUGGCAAGUCAGAUGUGAAAUCCUACAGCUUAACUGUAGAACUGCAUUUGAAACUGCUAACCUAGAGUAUGGGAGGGGGAGAUGGAAUUAGUGGUGUAGGGGUAAAAUCCGUAGAUAUCACUAGGAAUACCGAAAGCGAAGGCGAUCUCCUGGAACAUAACUGACGCUAAGGCGUGAAAGCGUGGGGAGCAAACAGGAUUAGAUACCCUAGUAGUCC